GAAUCGCAGUGAGACAAACAAAAAGAAUAGGGACAAGGUGAAGACUAAGAAUUAUGGUGGCUCGAAAGCGUAUGUUCAGUACCUGGAUGAGAUGCUUAAUAAUGAAACUGGGGAAGAUGGAAGUGUGAUUGAAUUCUAUGCAAAAUCACAUAUCAAGGAAAAUGGGGAAUCUAUUGAUGAAGAGGCUGAGAAGAAUUAUGCUAGAAUGCUAGAAAUGAAAAAAGUUGCAAUUGAAAUUGGAGAAGUAAUAACCCACGAGAAAGAGGAAGAAAUAAUGCUUGAAGUGCUAGGGAA